AUUACUCUCUUUCUAUCUACCUCAAUCUUUUUUCUAUUUCUCCAUCUCACUCCCGUUUUGAAAUCUGCGCCAUCUUCCAUCUUCAUCCAUCCUCAACCUUCCCUUCUCUUCUUCUUCCUCUUCCUCAACCUUCCCCCUUUCUUUUUCUUCAUCACCUUCAUUCUGUAACAACAUCAUCACCAUCUUCUAACUCUUUUGUGGUUUAUUUUUCAGGUUAAAGACUGAAUCGAGUUUUACUGGUGAAUUUUGAAGCUAAAAAGGUUAUAGGUUGGAUCGGGUUUUACCGGUGAGUUUUGAAGCUAACAAUGUUAUAAACUGGAUCGAGUUUUACCGGUGAGUUUUGAAGGUGACAGGGUAUGGGUUCUUUUUGGUUUUCUCUCGGGGAUUAUUAUUAUAGUUAUUUUCUAUUUAUAUAUUGCUUAUGGUUACUGAAAGGAAUUUUUGUAAGAACGGGACAUUAAAAUUUUCAUUUUUAGCCAUACAAUAAUUUGUAUGCAAAGGAAAGUGGUUUUUGAUGUUAAGAUAAAAGUCUCUCUAUGUUAAGAUAUGGCUACCAACAGAAUUGAAAGUCUUGAUCCUGCUUUGUUACGACCUGGUCGUAUUGACUAAUAUGUAACACUGUUAUUAAGUUAACUUUGGGUGGAUCAUAGCUACUCAUUUGUCUCUGUACCCGACAAUCCUUAUUAUCCCAGUAUGUUGUUGUUCCAACCCAUUAAGUAGCAUUUACAACAUAAUCUUAAUUUAUCAUUUUAUCUAUCUGUAGAUACAUCUAUUAUCUUAUGUUACAGGUAGUACUGUUGUUUGGUUAUGGCCCUGAUGCUCCCCUAGGAAAUUAUUCCUGCAAAGGAAAAAUCUUGAAGUUCAUGAUUCCAAGGAGGCCAGUUGUGCUUUUUUUUUUUUGUUCUGGGCUUUGCUGUGGUCGUCCUACGUUUUAAUCCUCCUCUUGCAGAUCACAAGUGUUGGAAUAAACCUGAGUCAAUUACCGGGGAACGACCUCUCUUACAAGUGAACACAUCCUCUCCCGGAUCAGAUGUUGCAGGUGAAACUGCAACAGAGAUGGCAUCAGCGUGUUUGGUUUUCAAAAAGACGAAUCCUACAUAUUCAAUGGACAAGUUCAAACCGAGUAUAUAACUACACAUUGGAUCCAUGCGGUCCUGUUCAUAUCACGGUUGGUGACGGUAGUAACUAGGAAAAGAUGGCGAUUACUCAUGCGGAUGAACCAGGAAAGAGAAUAUGAUCGCACUUAGGUUGCUUAGGUUACCAUUAAGGAUUCGCAGGGAGCAGAGACAGCAAUUCUCUUGACCGUACGUUCAUAUAUACGCAUGUUAUAUGAGGAAGAGACAGCAGUUCUCUUCGGUCGAGUCCUACAAACUAAAGUAGGGCUGCUGUAAAGAAGGUUGAAGAUGCGAUAAGUACCAUGCUUGCCAAGGGUUUCAUUUUGGGAAAGGAUGCAAUAAACAAAACAAAUCUAACCUACUGAUAGUUGAGGAUGGAAACUACAAUGAAGAUUCUAUGGAGCGUGAUAAAAGGCUUCUCACAGAAUUAGGGCGCAUGAAUAAUUUCCCGUGUUUUUGUCUAGGAAUAAUUUGCCAUGGAGCAAAAAUAGCAAGUUGAAGCAGUGUUUCACAAAACGUCACUUCAUUGGAAGAGCUGAUUGGUAUCAUCGCAUGUUAAGGCAGACUAAUUGUAUAAGUUGAUGUAUUCAAAUCAGAAGAUGCCAAACUUAUUGAACCUGAGGGUGUGCCAAUCACCAUUCUUUAUCCUGGGUUUAUUUAUGGACCGGGCAAAAUGACUGCAGGAAAUGCUGUUGCAAAUAUGGUGGAUCGUCUUUAUCUUAGCUCUCCAAACAUAAUUGCAGUUAUAGAUCAUGAGAGGAAACGAACAUUCAUUAUAAGAAAGGAAGGCCUUCCUGAUGUUGCUGUGUGGAAUCUGUGGGAGAAGAAAUAGAAGGCGAUGGUGGAUUUUGGUGAUGAGGAGUACAAACAUAUGCUUUGUGUAGAUGGUGCAGUGAUUGAGAAACCGGUGAAUUUGAAGCCUGGAGAGGAAUGACAGGGAGGAUUCAACUCUCAAUUGUGGGAUCGAGUUUUUGUAGCGAUCAUUACGGUUUUGACAGAAGUGGUAUUUGAGAGGAUGGUGGAGUUGUGCAAAAAUCUAAUCUGAUCAGAGUUUGUUACAUUUAGCAAUGUUAUAGGAUUAAGUUAUCAGAGUUUGUAGUAGUAGUGCUUUUUAGGAGUACAAGGUUUUCUCCUGUGUUCUUUUCAUGCUACAAAAAGGAAAAACCUAUGUUUUUUUUUUAUAA